ACUCCUACGGGAGGCAGCAGUGGGGAAUUUUGGACAAUGGGCGAAAGCCUGAUCCAGCAAUGCCGCGUGUGUGAAGAAGGCCUUCGGGUUGUAAAGCACUUUUGUCCGGAAAGAAAUCCUUGGCUCUAAUACAGUCGGGGGAUGACGGUACCGGAAGAAUAAGCACCGGCUAACUACGUGCCAGCAGCCGCGGUAAUACGUAGGGUGCGAGCGUUAAUAGGAAUUACUGGGCGUAAAGCGUGCGCAGGCGGUUUGCUAAGACCGAUGUGAAAUCCCCGGGCUCAACCUGGGAACUGCAUUGGUGACUGGCAGGCUAGAGUAUGGCAGAGGGGGGUAGAAUUCCACGUGUAGCAGUGAAAUGCGUAGAGAUGUGGAGGAAUACCGAUGGCGAAGGCAGCCCCCUGGGCCAAUACUGACGCUCAUGCACGAAAGCGUGGGGAGCAAACAGGAUUAGAUACCCUGGUAGUCCCAUG
rnacentral:rRNA from 1 species